CCAAGUCCACUAACUUUAGGUGUGGCUUUCAUCCACAAGGUUGCAAGAUGGAUGCUGCUGCUUCAGUCAUCACAUUCACAUUCUAGGUCAGAAGUUCGGGGGAAGUAUCAAAAGCCUUCUCCUUGUGAUGAAAGAAAAAAUUGUUCUCAGUAAAUUCGGCAUACAUCUUAUUAAGCAGAGAGACCAACUUCCACUGUCAAACCUGGUGAGAUUGUCUGAGCUUCUCUUCCAGCUAGAGCAUGAUCAUGUGACCAAAACUUGGCCAAGAAGACCCAAGGAAAAGUACACCAUGGCAUCUGGAAAAGAUUUUCCACCAGACAGUAAGAUCAAUGUGAUCCAACUCAGAAUCCCACCCUGCAAUUUGUCUUCAUGUUUCCUUAGUUUCCUCCAAAUUGGUAACAGUUUUCAGACCUUCCUUGUCUGUCAUGAAUUUGACACUUUGGAAGAAUACAGAAAUAUCCUUCAACUGGCGUUUGCCAGAUGCUUUGUCAUUACCAGACUGAAGUUAUGCAUUUGAGAUCACUCUGCCUGCCUUGUGGAUACUCUGGUGGAUGGUAGCAGUGGAAGGUAAAAGCAGAUGACCAGUGGAGGCUAUUGCAAUAAUUCAGCCUGCUGAAUUGUGUCAUGGGAUGGGGACAUUGUCCAUUCAUGCCCUCA